GGAGCAAAAGUUUGAGAUUUUUGGAAAGCUUUCCUCAGCCUUGUUGUCUCUUGCAAAAAGACACGAAGGUUACAAAACUCUAUGGAGUAUAUGCUGUGAUCUCAAUAAUACUGACCUACUUAAAAAUCUUAUGCAUGACAGCAUGGGACCUAAACGAGGCUUUAGUUACUUUGUGUUUCAACAACUGUAUGACAGCAGACAGUUCUCUAAGCUUAUGAGACUUGGGGAGGAAUUUCAGGAAGACCUAGCAAUAUUUUUGAAACAUCAUCAGGAUCUCCUUUGGCUUCAUGAAAUAUUCCUUCAUAAAUUUUCUGAAGCUUCUGAAACUCUACAUGUUUUGUCUCUUUCACCAAAUGAUAGCUCCGCUAUGGAUAGUGAAACCAGCUCAUUUGGCACCACCAUAAAAACAAGUUUGGUGGAAAGAAGGCGGCUUUUGAAUCUCUCGAAAGUAGCUGCAUUGGCGGGAAGAAGUGCUAAUUUUGAAUCAAAGGUGAAGCGCAUAGAGGCUGAUUUAAAGAUUCUGUACUUGCAGGAAGAAAUAAUGAAACUCCUUUCGGACGAUGAAACGCAAAAUAUAAGCCAGCAGCUUCUUCCUCCAGUGGACCUUAUUGAAUUGUGCCUUAAAACUCAGGAUAGGGAGCUUUCGUUGAGAGUUUUUGACAUUUUUGCAUGGACCAGCUCCUCUUUUAUCAAGUCUAAUGCAAGCCUCUUGGAGGACUGCUGGAGAAAUGCCUCCAAUCAGGACGACUGGGAGAGGCUGUAUCAAGCAUCAGUAGAUGAGGGGUGGGGUGAUGAGGAGACUUUGAGCAUUCUAAAAGACACCAUUCUUUUCCAGGCUUCCAGCAGGUGCUAUGGCCUCAAAGCUGAAACUUUUGAGGGCAAUUUCCAGGAAGUGCUGCCGCUGAGGCUAGAAAAUUCUGAGCAAGUGACUUUAAAGAACAUGGGAUCCUCUGUGGAAACAAUACUGAUGCAGCACAAGGAUUAUCCUGAUGCUGGCAAGUUAAUGCUCACAUCAGUUAUGCUAGGA
rnacentral:misc_RNA from 1 species